ACGGAAGGCAGCAGUAGGGAAUAUUGCACAAUAGGGGAAACCCUGAUGUAGCAACGCCACGUGUGGGAAGAAGCAUUUCGGUGUGUAAACCACUGUCAUGAGGGAAUAAUGCUUGGCUCCGGCCAAGUUGAAUGUACCUCGAAAGGAAGCACCGGCAAACUUCGUGCCAGCAGCCGCGGUAAUACGAGGGGUGCAAGCGUUGUUCGGAAUCACUGGGCGUAAAGGGAGCGUAGGCGGAGACGCAAGCAGUCUGUACAAUACCGGGGCCCAACCCCGGACCUGCAGACUGGACUGUGUCUCUUGGAUAGUUCAGGGGCAGGCGGAAUUCCUGGUGUAGCGGUGGAAUGCGUAGAGAUCAGGAAGAACACCGAUGGCGAAGGCAGCCUGCUGGGGACUCAUCGACGCUGAGGCUCGAAAGUGCGGGUAGCAAACAGGAUUAGAUACCCUGGUA
rnacentral:rRNA from 1 species